rnacentral:sRNA from 1 species
UAGUCCUGACCGGCAAC